ensembl:lncRNA
GCGAAUUUGAGUCGUGACAUGUCAAUGGAGAACAAAAACUGUAAUGUGAACACAAGUGUCAGAUGUGUUCUGCGAGGUCCUGCAAACAUACUGGCAAAUUGAGAGAUUUUUCCACAUUUUCCUGAUAUGAAUCCCAUGGAUUAGAGUCAUCAAGGAUCCAGCUUAUUAUUGAAACAUUGGACAGUACAGAAAGCACACAAGUGGGAGAGAGUGGAGGGGACGGCGUCAGAAAGGACCUAGGGCUGGGACUCUUUCAAGGAUCACCUGAAGCACAACCACACUAUAUGCACGAGGCUGUUGGUUCUAACAUUUUAGGUUCACCUUUGGUAGAAAUCACAUUCCGCGUUCCCUGCGGUAAAAAAAGACACAGUCCGGGGGGGUUCCCGUUAGAAAUGCCCCCCCCCCAAAC